rnacentral:rRNA from 1 species
GUUGGCAGCUAGCUCUUUACAACUCUCACAUGAUCACCCACUGAAGCUAAGCAGGGCUGUGUCUGGUCAGUACCUGGAUGGGAGACAACAUGGGAAAAUUAGGUUGCUGCUGGAA